GACGCCAUGUUGAAAGGCUUGGUUAUCUAAAAGGGACUUGUUUGUUUGAUAAAAUAGCGGGCGCAAACAAGCACAUUUCAGAGAUUUAUACACUUUUCCGGCGGGAGUGCGAGUUACACCUAAUAUCCAAAUUGAAAGCAGGUGGCAUAGUUUUCACCGUUCAGAACCUGAAAAUAACUUGGACCGUUUAAAUCCGACACGUUCAAUUUCCCCACCGGAAAAGAAAACAAAAGAGAAGAAAAGGAAACGAAACGACGAAAGUUACACAAAGCUCGCUAAAAAAAAAAUUCCUUCUAAUUUCCCAAAAUGCCCCUGAUCUGUCAAUCUAUCAACCUCUCAGUCUAUUCGAAAUAUUUUUGGUUUUUGUUUAGCCUCUCUUUCUGUCGGUCCAUCUUAAUCUCUGUGCGUUCCUGUUUUUGAUGGAGCCGGAGAGGAGCCAAGAUCGGGGUCUCCCCGAGAGGAAGGGACAGAAGCGGAAAUUGGAGGAAGAGAUUGAAGAGGAGCGGCAAGAGAUCUCGCCGGCGGUCCCCUUCGGCGAUGCGCGGCAAGCGCUUUUAUACGAGGUGGCUGCUCAGGUAAAUAUCCUUAACUCGACCUUCUCUUGGAACGAGGCCGAUCGGGCAGCUGCCAAACGCGCCACUCACGUCCUUGCAGAGUUCGCCAAAAACGAGGAAUUAGUGAACGUAAUUGUUGAAGGAGGUGCAGUUCCAGCUCUGGUAAAGCAUCUUCAAGCGCCGCAGUCAAGUGAAGCUGAUGUUAAUCCAAAGCCGUUUGAGCACGAGGUGGAGAAGGGGAGUGCUUUCGCGCUAGGACUGCUUGCUGUGAAGCCAGAGCAUCAGCAACUCAUAGUUGACGCUGGGGCAUUGUCACUUCUUGUGGACCUGUUGAAGAGGCACAAGUAUGGUUCUAGUUCUCGUGCAGUUAAUAGUGUAAUUAGAAGGGCGGCCGAUGCUAUCACCAAUUUAGCUCAUGAGAACAGUAGCAUUAAGACUCGUGUUAGGAUGGAAGGUGGAAUUCCUCCUCUAGUUGAGUUGCUUGAAUUCAUCGACACAAAGGUGCAAAGAGCAGCUGCUGGGGCACUACGAACCCUGGCUUUUAAGAAUGAUGAUAAUAAAAAGCAGAUUGUUGAAUUUAAUGCUCUUCCCACCCUCAUUCUAAUGCUACGAUCCGAGGAUGUUGCUAUACACUAUGAAGCAGUUGGUGUAAUUGGAAAUCUGGUGCAUUCAUCCCCAAACAUAAAGAAAGAAGUCCUUGCUGCCGGUGCUCUGCAACCUGUUAUUGGUUUACUUAGUUCCUGCUGCUCUGAGAGCCAGAGGGAGGCUGCUUUGUUACUUGGACAAUUUGCUGCAACAGACUCGGAUUGCAAGGUUCACAUUGUACAAAGGGGUGCAGUUCAACCUUUGAUAGAGAUGCUUCAGUCUCCUGAUCUGCAGCUGAGGGAAAUGUCAGCCUUUGCACUGGGGAGGUUGGCACAGGACUUGCACAAUCAAGCUGGUAUAGCUCAUAAUGGUGGGUUGGUGCCAUUACUGAAGCUUCUGGAUUCAAAAAAUGGAUCUCUUCAACAUAAUGCUGCCUUUGCUCUUUAUGGUCUUGCAGAUAAUGAGGAUAAUGUGUCCGAUUUUAUUAGGGUGGGAGGUGUCCAGAAGCUGCAGGAUGGAGAGUUUAUUGUUCAAGCAACAAAAGAUUGUGUAUCCAAGACUUUGAAGCGAUUAGAGGAAAAGAUUCAUGGACGAGUCUUAAACCAUUUGUUAUAUCUAAUGCGUGUAGCAGAGAAGGCUGUCCAACGACGCGUUGCUUUAGCUCUUGCACAUCUUUGUUCCCCAGACGAUCAGAGAACCAUAUUCAUUGAUAACAAUGGAUUGGAGUUACUUCUUGGGCUUCUAGGCUCUGCUAACCCGAAGCAACAAAUUGAUGGAGCUGUAGCUCUCUACAAGUUAGCAAAUAAAGCAAUGACUCUCUCUCCUGUGGAUGCAGCUCCCCCUUCUCCAACACCACAGGUAUAUUUAGGGGAGCAGUAUGUAAACAAUGCUACGUUGUCUGAUGUAACCUUUCUGGUUGAAGGUAGACGGUUUUAUGCCCAUAGAAUUUGCCUACUUGCUUCUUCAGAUGCAUUUCGUGCAAUGUUUGAUGGAGGUUACCGGGUGAGUAUGCUUGUCAGUCUUGGUUUAGAUGCCAUUCAUCAAACACUCCCGUUGGGCCUUUUAUUCGGGAUUGAGGUCCAGGAAGAGUGAAACAGAAGGUUGCUUUUCUUUUGUUGUCUGCCAAAGUACUCUGCAGUUUGAAUUCAUUCAACUGGGAUAAUAUGUUGACUUUUAGUUUGGAUAAUCACAGAGGUCACUAUUCAUCAAAUUAAUUGUGAACCCCAGAGUUGGUCUUCUUGAUGGAUUUGUAGUUUUAAGCAAUAGUUUUGUGCAAGUAGGGAAGGAGGAUCUUGGUUGGGAUGACAUUCAUACGUAAUAUGUGCAUUUUAUUUUAUUUUUCUUUGCACUUGCCACAGGAGAAGGAUGCAAGGGACAUUGAAAUUCCAAACAUUAGAUGGGAGGUUUUUGAGUUGAUGAUGAGGUUUGAUGAAUUGCAAAGUUCAUACUUUAUUAAAGAAGUCUCUCCAGAUUGAUUAUUUAAUUGGUUUUGUUUUCUACAGAUUCAUAUACACAGGAUCAAUAGAUAUUUCAUUAGAUAUUGCACAAGAUCUCCUAAGGGCCGCAGAUCAAUAUCUUUUGGAGGGACUUAAGCGACUCUGUGAAUAUACCAUAGCACAGGAUAUAUCACUGGAAAAUGUUGCAAGCAUGUAUGAACUUUCAGAAGCUUUCAAUGCUAUUUCAUUGAGGCACACAUGCAUUUUGUUUAUCUUGGAGCAGUUUGAUAAAUUGAAUGCUAAGCCCAGGUACAUGCCCCUCUUACUAGGCCAUUUUCCCAUUCUCUUUAGAACAUUGUCUGUGAAUAAGUAUUCCUCAUAUUAGGGUUCAUGUGAUAAGUGUAAACAAUCCUCAAAUAUGUACAUGGAAAGUGGCAAAAUUUAGGAUCAUCAAUCAUCCCUUACACAUCGCAAUUUUUAUAUGCUUUCACCUCCCUAUGUAAGAUCCUUCUGUGAGAUCUCUGUGUAUGGAACAGUGCAAUAGUUCUGUGAGAUCUUAUUCCCUUUGUAGAAUGAGAAAGAACAUUUGUUUUUGGUGGUGGAAAUUUAUUUGUAUGCUGAAAUUUGCAGGCACUCCCAUUUGAUCCAGCGUAUCAUACCCGAGAUUCGGAAUUACUUUACCAAAGCACUUACCAAACUUAACCCACGCAACUUGCGGCUGUAGAUUACUGGUAUUGGAUUCUUGAUGUCUAACUGGAUAACAUUGUACAGAAAAUAGUAGAUCUUCUCAUUCAUGUCGAGCCAUUUGAAGGUUCUAAAUCUAAUAGGCUGGUUAUAUGGCACAUAAUCUUCCCUGAUACCAGAAUGCUGUUUCAUGUGUAUGCAUUGAACAUUGUUUCCAUUUUCUUGGAUGUUGAUGGGGUAUGUUCUCCAUCAACAUUAUUGUUGCCCUGUAUUGUUAUGUAUUCUGUAA
rnacentral:misc_RNA from 1 species